AGUUAAAAAGCUCGUAGUUGGAUUUCGGAGUGGGCCAGUUGGUCCGCCGCAAGGUGUGUUACUGACUGGUUUGCUCUUCUUCGCAAAGACUGCGUGUGCUCUUGAGUGAGUGUGCGUAGGAUUUACGACGUUUACUUUGAAAAAAUUAGAGUGUUCAAAGCAGGCUAUUGCUUGAAUACAUGAGCAUGGAAUAAUGGAAUAGGACUUUGGUCCCAUUUUGUUGGUUUCUAGGGCCGAAGUAAUGAUUAAGAGGGACAAUUGGGGGCAUCCGUAUUUCGUUGUCAGAGGUGAAAUUCUUGGAUUUACGAAAGACGAACAACUGCGAAAGCACUUGCCAAGAGUGUUUUCAUUAAUCAAGAACGAAAGUUAGAGGAUCGAAGACGAUCAGAUACCGUCCUAGUUCUAACCAUAAACGAUGUCGACUAGGGAUCAGCGGGCGUUAUCGUACGACCCCGUUGGCACCUUACGGGAAACCAAAGUUUUUGGAUUCCGGGGGAAGUAUGGUUGCAAAGCUGAAACUUAAAGGAAUUGACGGAAGGGCACCACCAGGAGUGGAGCCUGUGGCUCAAUUUGACUCAACACGGGAAAACUUACCAGGUCCAGACAUAGUAAGGAUUG
rnacentral:rRNA from 1 species